AUACGGGGGGAGCAAGCGUUGUCCGGAAUCAUUGGGCGUAAAGGGCACGUAGGCGGUUUCUUAAGUCGAAUGUGAAAUCUCACGGCUCAACCGUGAAACUGCGUUCGAAACUAAGUGACUUGAGUUUGGAAGAGGUGUACGGAAUUCCUGGUGUAGCGGUGGAAUGCGUAGAUAUCAGGAAGAACACCAAUGGCGAAGGCAGUACACUGGCCUGAAACUGACGCUGAGGUGCGAAAGCGUGGGGAGCAAACAGGAGUAGAAACCCCAGUAGUCC
rnacentral:rRNA from 1 species